AUUGGUGCGUAUGGGCAUGUCGGUUCCCUGCUCUGGCAGCGACGGCAUCUCGUGCGUGCUUCUUCAGUUGUUGGUUCAAGUUGCGGAUCGCCUUGACCGACGACGGUUUCCUGUGUUGUAUACCUAUCGAGAAGGCAUGAUGUUGUUCCAAUGUCCCUUUCCCUCCUUGUGCUGCGCCUUUCGGGGUUGCAGUAUGUGGUGGGCACCGAAGCAUUCGUUGUGUUCCACGACUUGCGUGCUUCAUAGUGCGAUCUUGUCGUUGGCCCAUGCCGUUUUGCUCGAUCUCUUGGAUGCGGAAUAGCGACGCGGUAUGAGGUCACUGACCUCUAUUUGCCCCGAAAACAAAGCGUUCUACGCUUAAUGCGGACGACGUCCGUCUACGUUUUGGUCGAGUCUCUCGGCUCAUGCGUGAUCGGCGUCGGUGAGGAAUGCUACCCC
rnacentral:misc_RNA from 1 species